rnacentral:misc_RNA from 1 species
UGGCGCCUCAGCGCUCUCCUGGCGCCUCCCUCCUCGCUGAACGCCAACAGUGCUCUUCCUCAGAUGCUCGAUUUGACUGGUGUGAGGUACAAAACAGUCACGAAAGUGAAAUCAUGAGACUAUUACCGAUGUAAAUGGCAGAUUCACCUCAAGAAGGAGAUACUUAAGAAGGUCUCAGAGACAGAUUAUGCCACUUCUGGAUCUACUGAAGUCUGAGUCACACCUGAGAAACACAGAUGCAGGAGAAAUCUCCUAAUAUAUUCAGAAUUGAUGUGUAAUCCCCCAUAAAAUACAUCGUUUCCAUUGUAAAAAUCAGUGAUGCAAACCCACUUCACGCGCAGCACCCACCUGCACCGUACCACACAACGCUGUGACAACACUAACACGAAGCUGAUGCUGAUUGCUCAACAGUGAGGGAUCCCUGCCCAGGAGCAGCCAGCACCGUGGAGCUGGGAUUUUUUUUGAAGAAAAUUUCAAACAUUAUG